UCAAUACGCCUCUCCCAUCUGUCUGUCUACACGUUUUUCAAAUUAUGAAAUCUGAUUUUCUUUUCAAAUUUAUAUACCGACUUUUAUGAAUUUACAAAGUAUAGAAAAAUCUUAAUUCCUACCGCAACUCACGUACUUCUUGGACGCCGUUUAUAAUACCGCAACUCUCCAACCAGGUUCCAGAUUUGUACGUACUUCUUCAUAAUUGUGAUAUAUAAAAACGAAAAAUCGCUGAAAUAUGUAUUUAAUAAUUAUGAAUAAAAUGGCGACAUAUUAAAAAACA